UAGGGAAUCUUCCGCAAUGGGCGAAAGCCUGACGGAGCAACGCCGCGUGAGUGAUGAAGGUCUUCGGAACGUAAAACUCUGUUAUUAGGGAAGAACAAAUGUGUAAGUAACUAUGCACGUCUUGACGGUACCUAAUCAGAAAGCCACGGCUAACUACGUGCCAGCAGCCGCGGUAAUACGUAGGUGGCAAGCGUUAUCCGGAAUUAUUGGGCGUAAAGCGCGCGUAGGCGGUUUUUUAAGUCUGAUGUGAAAGCCCACGGCUCAACCGUGGAGGGGAAGGGGAAAGUGGAAAACGGGAGGGAAGAAGAGGAAAGUGGAAGGCCAGGUGUAGCGGGGAAAGGCGCAGAGAUAUGGAGGAACACCAGGGGCGAAGGCGACUUUCUGGUCUGUAACUGACGCUGAUGUGCGAAAGCGUGGGGAUCAAACAGG
rnacentral:rRNA from 1 species